UACGUAGGGUGCAAGCGUUGUCCGGAAUUAUUGGGCGUAAAGAGCUCGUAGGCGGUCUGUCGCGUCUGCUGUGAAAACUCGGGGCUUAACCCCGGGCCUGCAGUGGGUACGGGCAGACUAGAGUGCGGUAGGGGAGACUGGAAUUCCUGGUGUAGCGGUGGAAUGCGCAGAUAUCAGGAGGAACACCGAUGGCGAAGGCAGCUCGCUGGGACGGUACUGACGCUGAGGCACGAAGGCCAGGGGAGCAAACGGG
rnacentral:rRNA from 1 species